AUGGUUAGGACAUUUGUGAAGAAUGAAAUGGGAGACAAAUUCCCGGGGAAAGCUGGACUGAAGCAUGAAGAGCCGACAACAAAGAAUGUGGUGUACUUCUUCGACAAAAUGCUGACAUGCACGAGACAGGAGCUCGACAAGAAAUGGUUCAAACACCUUGCCUCGUACCUAGUUGUGAUGUGUGGUGAUGAUUUUCGGAAAGAAUUUGGGCCGAAUGGAAGGCUAACAAUUACUGGUUGCGUUUGCUUGAGCCGAAUGAUCACUUACAAGGAAGGGCUCAUGUACGGUUCAUGGCAGAUCAGGUGGCGCCAUGUCUUUGAUGUGCGCUUUGUGCUUGCCUUGAUGUACAACUCAUACAGUCUAGAUUUCAAAUUCAUGAAUACAAUGAUGAGCUUUGAGGCGCUUGGAUAUAGGUUUCAGUGGACCAAGAAGGUUAGCGAUUAA
rnacentral:rRNA from 1 species